AAAAGAAUCAUCUAGGGGUCUUGUUAAAAUGCAGAUUCUGAUUCAGCGUGCUGGGGUGAGGUCCAAGAUUCUGCAUUCUUAGCAAGCUCCCAGAACAUUUCCGU
rnacentral:pre_miRNA from 1 species